rnacentral:rRNA from 1 species
UACGUAGGAUGCGAGCGUUGUCCGGAAUUAUUGGGCGUAAAGGGCUCGUAGGCGGUUUGUCACGUCGGGAGUGAAAACUCAGGGCUCAACCCUGAGCGUGCUUCCGAUACGGGCAGACUAGAGGUAUGCAGGGGAGAACGGAAUUCCUGGUGUAGCGGUGGAAUGCGCAGAUAUCAGGAGGAACACCGGUGGCGAAGGCGGUUCUCUGGGCAUUACCUGACGCUGAGGAGCGAAAGCAUGGGGAGCGAACAGG